rfam:Bombyx mori DNA, contig: Bm_scaf152_contig40235, strain: p50T/Dazao, build 2, whole genome shotgun sequence.
UUAACUCAAAUUUAUAGGGAAUUGGAACGUUUGCGGCUAGGGGCGCUGUUCCAAUUGCAUACAAAUUUGAGUUA